GAUUUUUGAUCUUGGUUUUGGUCUGUAACACCUUAAACAUUUUUCAAAAUUUGAAAUAUUUUUUUCCAAAUAAUUAUUUACUUAAAUAACCUCUGCACGCAAAAUGUUUUUUCCGUGUGAAAGGUGACCCUAACUGGCAGUGCUGGCCCGUGGUCAAGUAGGGGUGUGGCUGGUGGUCCCCCUAUCUUCUACAAUUCUACCUAUUGGCGUUGGUCUCUUCUUUUGCGGCUAACCCCUUCAGUCAGGUCACACAUUCUAGUUCAGGGGUUCUCACAACAAAAUUUUUGGUGGCCUCAUAGUGUGGCCAACAACUUGCUGGUGGUCGCCCUAAUAAGUUUUCCUAAAAUACUUAAUUAACUUUAGGAAAAAACAAUAUAUAUGCACAUAUACAUGUCCGAAUCAUAAUUUAUUUAUGUAGGGUUUUUUUCAGACUCUGUAAUAAACAUAAUUUACAGUUGUCACUAUUCUUUACUGGACCUAAACAGAAUAGAAACACAAAUAAGGUGCUUUGCAUGUUCUUAUCUUUUUGUUGUUGUUGCUUCUUUUGCUUUUUUGGUUGUGCUUUUUUUCUUCUAAGACUUGCUAGCUGGUAAGUCUUCUGCUGUGUAAAGUGAUAUUUGUAUGUUUAAUACUGCUGUGGAAA